rnacentral:rRNA from 1 species
UACGUAGGGGGCGAGCGUUGUCCGGAGUUACUGGGCGUAAAGAGCUCGUAGGCGGCCUGUUGCGUCCGCUGUGAAAUCCCGGGGCUUAACCCCGGGCUUGCAGUGGAUACGGGCAGGCUGGAGGCAGGCAGGGGAGAACGGAAUUCCCGGUGUAGCGGUGAAAUGCGUAGAUAUCUGGAGGAACACCGGUGGCGAAGGCGGCAUCCUGGACCGAUAUUGACGCUGAGGCGCGAAAGCCAGGGGAGCAAACGGG